AGAGUUUGAUCCUGGCUCAGAUUGAACGCUGGCGGCAGGCUUAACACAUGCAAGUCGAGCGGAGUAUUGGUGCUUGCACCAAUACUUAGCGGCGGACGGGUGAGUAAUGCUUAGGAAUCUGCCUAUUAGUGGGGGACAACAUCUCGAAAGGGAUGCUAAUACCGCAUACGCCCUACGGGGGAAAGCAGGGGAUCUUCGGACCUUGCGCUAAUAGAUGAGCCUAAGUCGGAUUAGCUAGUUGGUGGGGUAAAGGCCUACCAAGGCGACGAUCUGUAGCGGGUCUGAGAGGAUGAUCCGCCACACUGGGACUGAGACACGGCCCAGACUCCUACGGGAGGCAGCAGUGGGGAAUAUUGGACAAUGGGGGGAACCCUGAUCCAGCCAUGCCGCGUGUGUGAAGAAGGCCUUUUGGUUGUAAAGCACUUUAAGCGAGGAGGAGGCUACUCUAGUUAAUACCUAGGGAUAGUGGACGUUACUCGCAGAAUAAGCACCGGCUAACUCUGUGCCAGCAGCCGCGGUAAUACAGAGGGUGCGAGCGUUAAUCGGAUUUACUGGGCGUAAAGCGUGCGUAGGCGGCUUUUUAAGUCGGAUGUGAAAUCCCUGAGCUUAACUUAGGAAUUGCAUUCGAUACUGGGAAGCUAGAGUAUGGGAGAGGAUGGUAGAAUUCCAGGUGUAGCGGUGAAAUGCGUAGAGAUCUGGAGGAAUACCGAUGGCGAAGGCAGCCAUCUGGCCUAAUACUGACGCUGAGGUACGAAAGCAUGGGGAGCAAACAGGAUUAGAUACCCUGGUAGUCCAUGCCGUAAACGAUGUCUACUAGCCGUUGGGGCCUUUGAGGCUUUAGUGGCGCAGCUAACGCGAUAAGUAGACCGCCUGGGGAGUACGGUCGCAGACUAAACUCAAAUGAAUUGACGGGGCCCGCCAAGCGGUGGAGCAUGUGGUUUAAUUCGAUGCAACGCGAAGAACCUUACCUGGUCUUGACAUACAGAGAACUUUCCAGAGAUGGAUUGGUGCCUUCGGGAACUCUGAUACAGGUGCUGCAUGGCUGUCGUCAGCUCGUGUCGUGAGAUGUUGGGUUAAGUCCCGCAACGAGCGCAACCCUUUUCCUUAUUUGCCAGCGGGUUAAGCCGGGAACUUUAAGGAUACUGCCAGUGACAAACUGGAGGAAGGCGGGGACGACGUCAAGUCAUCAUGGCCCUUACGACCAGGGCUACACACGUGCUACAAUGGUCGGUACAAAGGGUUGCUACCUAGCGAUAGGAUGCUAAUCUCAAAAAGCCGAUCGUAGUCCGGAUUGGAGUCUGCAACUCGACUCCAUGAAGCCGGAAUCGCUAGUAAUCGCGGAUCAGAAUGCCGCGGUGAAUACGUUCCCGGGCCUUGUACACACCGCCCGUCACACCAUGGGAGUUUGUUGCACCAGAAGUAGGUAGUCUAACCGUAAGGAGGACGCUUACCACGGUGUGGCCGAUGACUGGGGUGAAGUCGUAACAAGGUAGCCGU
rnacentral:rRNA from 1 species